rnacentral:rRNA from 1 species
UGCGUAGGCGGUUUGGCAAGUUGGUAGCGUAAUUCCGGGGCUUAACUUCGGAGCUACUACCAAAACUGCUAGGCUUGAGUGCGGCAGGGGUAUGUGGAAUUCCUAGUGUAGCGGUGGAAUGCGUAGAUAUUAGGAGGAACACCAGAGGCGAAAGCGACAUACUGGGCCGUAACUGACGCUGAGGCACGAAAGCGUGGGGAGCAAACA